rnacentral:rRNA from 1 species
GCCACACUGGAACUGAGACACGGUCCAGACUCCUACGGGAGGCAGCAGUAGGGAAUCUUCCGCAAUGGGCGAAAGCCUGACGGAGCAACGCCGCGUGAGUGAUGAAGGUCUUAGGAUCGUAAAACUCUGUUGUUAGGGAAGAACAAAUUUGUUAAUAACUGAACAAGUCUUGACGGUACCUAACCAGAAAGCCACGGCUAACUACGUGCCAGCAGCCGCGGUAAUACGUAGGGGGCAAGCGUUGUCCGGAAUUAUUGGGCGUAAAGGGCGCGCAGGCGGCCUCUUAAGUCUGAUGUGAAAUCUUGUGGCUUAACCACAAGCGGUCAUUGGAAACUGGGAAGCUUGAGUGCAGAAGAGGAGAGUGGAAUUCCACGUGUAGCGGUGAAAUGCGUAGAGAUGUGGAGGAACACCAGUGGCGAAGGCGACUCUCUGGUCUGUAACUGACGCUGAGGCGCGAAAGCGUGGGGAGCGAACAGGAUUAGAUACCCUGGUAGUCCACGCCGUAAACGAUGAGUGCUAGGUGUUAAGGGGUUUCCGCCCCUUAGUGCUGGAG